GGGCCCGCAUGUUGGUGUCAUGGAUGUGUUUGAGAACCAUCCAGGCCUCGUCGUGUUUCCCCGUCUGGGAAACGGACACAUUUAGCAGAGAAUAUGGAUGAAGUUUGGAGAGAAGCAGCACACGUCACUUCUCUUGAUGCCCAAGCAGCAGAUGAACUCACCAAGGAAAUCAGUUCAACUCUCUGGUCAGCAACGUCUGUCCAGUUCAAUCUCGACAGAACUGAACCUGCGUUGGCAGCACUGACUCAACGGCUGCAGUAGUUGCUUCUGCUAUAUCCUCUACUGCUUUAUUUUUAACUCAGGUGUUCACUAAGGCCUGUGUUCAAAGCAGACCCACCACAUUGUCAUGUGGGACAAAAAAAAAAAAAAGUGGUUCAGUAUGUCAAGUACUCCUAGCAGGACUCGCAAAGAGAAAUAAAUGCAGAAAUGAAUCAUCUGCAGUCAAUUUCAUCGCAAUCACAAGUCUGUCCAAUUUAUUCUAACCUAGAGAUCCAUGGACAUAAACUUUAAAAUUGAUGUUUUAAAAAAAUCAGUUCGCUGUAAUAUUUAUCCUUAAAUGACGACGGGUAAUUCGAUGUGAACACGUAUAAAUGUUUAAACCACUCAUUGAGCAAGAAAAGACCACAAGGACCAAGUACACCGUUAAUCAAAACAUUGAAUUUAAUUGAAAAAGAUGAGUGAAUAUAACUUGACUUUUGUCAAAGUGCAGUGAAUUUUAAUGUUGUCUUUAAUCAAAUAAAUUCACUGGAUUCAA